GACGAACGCUGGCGGCGUGCUUAACACAUGCAAGUCGAGCGGAAAGGCCCUUCGGGGUACUCGAGCGGCGAACGGGUGAGUAACACGUGAGUAACCUGCCCCAGACUUUGGGAUAACCCUCGGAAACGGGGGCUAAUACCGGAUACGACACAGCUUCGCAUGGGGUCUGUGUGGAAAGUUUUUCGGUUUGGGAUGGGCUCGCGGCCUAUCAGCUUGUUGGUGGGGUGAUGGCCUACCAAGGCGACGACGGGUAGCCGGCCUGAGAGGGCGACCGGCCACACUGGGACUGAGACACGGCCCAGACUCCUACGGGAGGCAGCAGUGGGGAAUAUUGCACAAUGGGCGGAAGCCUGAUGCAGCGACGCCGCGUGAGGGAUGACGACCUUCGGGUUGUAAACCUCUUUCAGCAGGGACGAAGCGUAAGUGACGGUACCUGCAGAAGAAGCGCCGGCCAACUACGUG
rnacentral:rRNA from 1 species